rnacentral:misc_RNA from 1 species
UACGGGGAAAAACGGUGGGGAAUUUUGGACAAUGGGGAAACCCUGAUCCAGCCAUCCCGCGUGUGCGAUGAAGGCCUUCGGGUUGUAAAGCACUUUUGGCAGGAAAACGGCGCAGGAUAAUACCCGUACAAUUGGCGGUACCUGCAGAAUAAGCACCGGCUAACUACGUGCCAGCAGCCGCGGUAAUACGUAGGGUGCAAAGCGUUAAUCGAGAUUACUGGGCGUAAAGCGUGCGCAGGCGGUUCGGAAAAGAAAGAUGUGAAAUCCCAGAGCUUAACUUUGGAACUGCAUUUUUAACUACCGAGCUAGAGUGUGUCAGAGGGAGGUGGAAUUCCGCGUGUAGCAGUGAAAUGCGUAGAUAUGCGGAGGAACACCGAUGGCGAAGGCAGCCUCCUGGGAUAAUACUGACGCUCAUGCACGAAAGCGUGGGGAGCAAACAGGAUUAGAAUACCCCUGUAG